GAUGAACGCUAGCGGCAAGCUUAAUACAUGCAAGUCGUGGGGCAGCAUGAAGUAGCAAUACUUUGAUGGCGACCGGCAAACGGGUGCGGAACACGUACACAACCUUCCGAUAAGUGGGGAAUAGCCCAGAGAAAUUUGGAUUAAUACCCCGUAACAUUGCGAUGUGGCAUCACAUUGCAAUUAUAGCUUCGGCGCUUAUUGAUGGGUGUGCGUAUGAUUAGAUAGUUGGCGGGGUAAAGGCCUACCAAGCCGACGAUCUGUAGCUGGUCUGAGAGGACGACCAGCCACACUGGGACUGAGACACGGCCCAGACUCCUACGGGAGGCAGCAGUGGGGAAUUUUGGACAAUGGGCGCAAGCCUGAUCCAGCCAUUCCGCGUGCAGGAUGAAGGCCCUCGGGUUGUAAACUGCUUUUGUACGGAACGAAAACGGCCUGCUCUAAUACAGCGGGCUAAUGACGGUACCGUAAGAAUAAGCACCGGCU
rnacentral:rRNA from 1 species